AAAAAUCUGAUGACGGGAAAGAGUACUUUGCCGGGAUAUUUACAGAGAGCCGAUGGGUGGUGUGAAUCGGUAAUAGAAGGUAAAGGAAAAUCAUCCCUGAAGAGACGUGCUGAAGAUAUUAAGCACUGACGAUUUUUCCACGUUAUAGGAAACGCGUAUGUUGGUACGUUGUAGAGAGCCCGCUAUGGCAGUAAUGCGGCGGGAAUCAGGGUGGUAACGCGGAAUAUACUCCGUCCCUCAG
rnacentral:ncRNA from 1 species